rnacentral:misc_RNA from 1 species
UAAAGUGCGAAAUGAAGUGCGAUUUGCAUGAAUCUGUGAGUCAUGAUAUCUUUGAACGCAACUUGCGCCUCGUAAGAGGCAUGUCUGUUUGAGGGCCGCAUCACAAUAAGCUCAUUGUCUUGGUACUUGACGAGGAGAGGGUUCCGUCAUGUGCUUGAAUAAAGGUGUGGAAGGUCAGUCACUGAGACUGCUUGUGCUAGAGCCUUGUGCUUCUCAAGCAGGUCGCUUUGACGAGCCCAUUAUAUUUUGGCCUCAAAUCAGUCAAGACUACCCGCUGAACUUAA